UGUAUGAGAAGCUUUAUUAUUCUAACAGAUUUUGUUUACAAGCAGAAAAUAUUGGUAAAUCUCAUAUAACAUAAGGAUGUAUCAAUAGUUCCAUAUGCUAUGCUUUAAUAGAGUUCUGUAAGGUUUCUAAAGAUGACUUAAGUCAGCGUCACUGAAAAUAAAGAGUCAGAAAUAACCUAAAAAUUGAGUGAUUCCAUAGAACAAAUAUAUUCAUUUUACAGAUGGGGAACUGCGACAUGAAGAAGUUAACUUACCUAAGAUCAGAGAAUGAGUCAAGGACAGAACAGGACCAUGUCAUCAAAUUUAGAGAAACUUGAACUAUACACUACUUUGGAGAAAGCUGACCUAAGAUGCAGAAUUAGAGGUGCUCCAAAGGCCCAGAAUAUCCAUUGCCACCUAUUGAUGCAGCACAAGAUCUACAAUGUUCCUGGUGUCAGGAUGCCCAUUAUGGAAGCUUACACUGUUGUGGGAGAAUUAAGUCUUGGCAUAACCCAAGGCACUGUUGUCAUUCAAUGGAAAAAUGGAAGCCAAAAAAGAAAAUUUGAUUUAAGAAUAACCAACCCUCUCAUUAUCCCGUUGGGCACUGUUAUGCCUUGUCUCUGGAAACCAAUAUAAUUUACUUCAUUUUGAUUUGUGUUCUGUCUUGUUCAGAAAGUGCUUCAGGUGACUUACAAGAAGAUAUAAAAAUUAAAACUCGAGAAGCUAUUACAGGGCGGGACUUGGGUGGGGAACAAUUUGCCCUAGGGUGGGUAUACAAGCUUUAGAAUUAAGUGGACUUGUGUGUAUGCUUUGCUUCUUGGUAAAGUUACUUAACCUAUUUGUAGCUCUAUUUCCUCAUCUGUAAUGUGUAUUUAAUAAGUACUCAAGAUGCCAUAGGCAAUGUUAUAUCUUAACAGGUAAGUAAUUAACAUGUGCACCAUAUUUGUAUACAUUGGGCAUAGUGGCAUUUCGGUGGUCUGAUAUCUCAGGCAUGUUCCAGAACCCCACCAAAGGAUCCAAAUUGGAGAAUAUGUUGGUUUAACCAAAAAAAGUGUCAGAAAUACUUGGAGCCCCACCAAAAUGUCUUCAUAAAAGAACACAUCUUUCUACACACAAGAACUUCUUAAACUUUAAUGUAAAUUCCUUCAUUUUAUAGAUCACAAAACUGAGGCCAAGAGGGAGGAAGCGAUUUUGCCCAAGAUCACACAGGGAAUUGGGAGCAGAAUUAGAUCUUAAAUGCAAGCAUCUCAACUGCUACUUAGUCUUUUCUUUUAUAUAUAUCAAGUUACAUUUUUUUCUUCCAAAUAUACUUCCUGUAUACUUUGUAAAACGAAGUAAGGAGAAGAGAUGUGCAGUUUUCAUAUUUCAAUGUUAGGGAUUAAAGAUUUCUUCAAGCAUCUGAUUGCUGAUUGGCUAAGAAACACACACCAGUAUUUGUGG
rnacentral:lncRNA from 1 species